AACGCGAAGAACCUUACCUGGGCUCGAAGUUCAGAGGACGUUGCCAGAGAAGGUAAUUCCCGCAAGGGUCUCUGAAUAGGUGCUGCAUGGCUGUCGUCAGCUCGUGCCGUGAGGUGUUGGGUUAAGUCCCGCAACGAGCGCAACCCUUAUCAUUAGUUGCCAACACGCGAGGUGGGGACUCUAAUGAGACUGCCUGGGUUAACCAGGAGGAAGGUGAGGAUGACGUCAAGUCCGCAUGGCCUUUAUGUCCAGGGCUACACACGUGCUACAAUGGUCGGUACAGAAGGCCGCGAAACCGCGAGGUGGAGCAAAUCCCAAAAACCGAUCCCAGUUCAGAUUGUAGUCUGCAACUCGACUACAUGAAGUUGGAAUUGCUAGUAAUGGCGUGUCAGCAACAACGCCGUGAAUACGUUCCCGGGCCUUGUA
rnacentral:rRNA from 1 species